rnacentral:lncRNA from 1 species
CAAUUCGAUAGAAUCGUACUUCAAUGUGCGCUGCCUACAAGAAAAUCUCUUGCACAGUUAGUUUUGCAUACAAAGUCUUACAAAGUGCAUUUUGUUUCGAUGUGUUGAAAGUGGCUAAAAAUGCGUUGAUUCGAGCACAAUUACCACAGCAGAGCGAAGCGUUGUUAGUGUUAAUUUCAGGGGAAAACUCUAGAAAGUUGACUGAAGUUCAAUCUUGUGCUUCUCUGUGCGUGCUGAUGUUUAAUCUGUGUGGAAGUCCGAGGGGAGCUCAGAGGGAACAUUGGUUAGGGUCAAGAGGAGGGUUAGGGAACGAUUCAGGACCAUUGUCUUAAUGUGAGCUCUGAGUUGCACAGUCUCAUAGGAACUAAUCCUAACUUGAGCUACCAGGCUGUAACUUCUAAACACGUUUAGAUUGAUGAGGAGUGUGACCAGAAUGAUGCGUCCUCAGGGCUAGGAAUGUCCUGGUAUCUGGUCCUGGUCUCAGCUGUCACUGCUGGCUUUGUGCUUCUCCUGAGUCUGCUCAUCCUCUUCAUCUGGGUCAUCCCCAGGUGUCUUCAUUCACAUAGUAGAGAAGUGACAGUAGUCCGGUUCGAUGGACAGCUAAUAAACGAGACAGACACACCUGCACAGUUGGAAAUGGAGGAUUAAGAUACGAUCGACGUUUUCCAGCAACAGACAGGAGGCCUCUACUAGCAUGUCAAGUACUCCCCCACAUCUUCCUCCACCCCCAGACGGCUGCUUUGCAGCUUGUCCCAUUUUCCACCACAGAAUCAAUACCAUGCGGAAGAAGUCCUGCUCACAGUUAUACAUAACUGUUGAUGUAUAGUGUUUUCAUUCUUGCCUUUGUUUCCUUCCUGUUUUGUACAUAAACAACCUCCGCUAAAACAACUCAGAUUUGAGUAACAUUCAUACAGGUGUGCUGCGAAUGAACGCUGCAAGAUCCAGCUCUUAAAAAGUCCAUUGUUUUGGUGACUGGUUGGUUCACUUAUUCAGAAAUCAAGAAAAGCUAUUUUCCACCCAGUUCACUGUUUGAGAAUAAGACUGGUUUGUUAUUCAACUUAAUUUGUCUGUUUCAGAAAAUUGUUUUUACAUCUUUCUGUAUAGUAGUGGUUGUGUAGAAUGAAACAUGUCUUGAACAUAGUUUGACUAGGCCAUGUGUGUAAUAAGGAAACCCGGAAGAGAUGUCUCAAAUGACUAGUUAAAAUAAAGUUAUUCUCUCUUUUUAACCAAACUCAA